rnacentral:rRNA from 1 species
AACGAUGAGCACUAGGUGUUGGGGGGAGAACCCUCAGUGCCGCAGUUAACGCAAUAAGUGCUCCGCCUGGGGAGUACGCACGCAAGUGUAAAACUCAAAGGAAUUGACGGGGACCCGCACAAGCAGCGGAGCAUGUGGUUUAAUUCGAAGCAACGCGAAGAACCUUACCAGGACUUGACAUCUGCCUGACGUACCCUUAACCGGGUAUUUCUUCGGACAGGCAAGACAGGUGGUGCAUGGCUGUCGUCAG